AUACUUACCUGGUGUCGGGAGACUUGGUGAACAGGAAGGCCAGCUCCUCGGUCAGAGGCUUACCAUUGCACUAUGGGUUCGCUGAAGGCCGCCACUCCCCCCAAAUAGGGGAAGUUGGGGCAUGUAAUUUUUGCGAUAGGGGAUCGGCGUUCGCGCCGGCCCCCU
rnacentral:snRNA from 1 species